CGAAGUAGCAAUACUUAGUGGCAGACGGGUGAGUAACAUGUAGGUAUCUGCCCCUUGGCCUGGAAUAACACGAGGAAACUUGUGCUAAUACCGGAUAAGUCUUUACGGAGAAAGCUUUAUGCACCAUUGGAUGAGCCUGCACUUGAUUAGUUUGUUGGUGGGGUAAUGGCCUACCAAGACUGUGAUCAAUAGCUGAUUUGAGAGGAUGAUCAGCCACAUUGGGACUGAGACACGGCCCAAACUC
rnacentral:rRNA from 1 species